rnacentral:rRNA from 1 species
CACGGCGCACGGGUGCGUAACACGUGGGCAAUCUGCCCUUCGAUGGGGAAUAACCCCGGGAAACCGGGGCUAAUUCCGCAUAAUAUUCCGAGGACUAACGUCCUUGGAUUCAAAGCCGUAAGGCGUCGAAGGAGGAGCCCGCGCACGAUUAGCUAGUUGGUGAGGUAACGGCUCACCAAGGCUAUGAUCGUUAGCUGGUCUGAGAGGAUGGCCAGCCACACUGGAACUGAGACACGGUCCAGACUCCUACGGGAGGCAGCAGUGGGGAAUCUUGCACAAUGGGCGAAAGCCUGAUGCAGCGACGCCGCGUGGGGGAUGAAGCUUUUCGGAGUGUAAACCCCUUUCGACCCGGACGAAUGCCCCGCAAGGGGACUGACGGUACGGGUAUAAGAAGCCCCGGCUAACUACGUGCCAGCAGCCGCGGUAAGACGUAGGGGGCCAGCGUUGCUCGGAAUUACUGGGUGUAAAGGGUUCGUAGGCGGUGCGGCAAGUCGGGAGUGAAAUCUCUGGGCUCAACCCAGAGGCUGCUUCCGAAACUGCUGUGCUUGAGUGUGGGAGAGGCGCGUGGAAUUGCAGGUGUAGCGGUGAAAUGCGUAGAUAUCUGCAGGAACACCCGUGGCGAAAGCGGCGCGCUGGACCACAAC